rnacentral:tRNA from 1 species
GGUCAGGUGUCCGAGUGGCUGAAGGAGCACGCCUGGAAAGUGUGUAUACGGCAACGUAUCGAGGGUUCGAAUCCCUCUCUGACCGCCA